rnacentral:lncRNA from 1 species
AAGCUCCCUGCUCUCAGAAGAAUCUGGCACAGCACCAUCACCAACUCAGAGGAAGGGAAGCAACCUGGAGUCAGCUCCCAGGCAGUAAUGAGUGUUCAAGGGAGAUAUAACUCUAAGGAAAAGGAUUGAGGUCAUGGAAUUAGAAGAAACAGAUGGAAGAAUCAUUUGAACCAUAUCCAGGUCUUUUGAAAAUGAUGAGACAGAAGAGAAAGAGAAAAUUGCAUCAGACAGUUUUGCUGAGAAAUUGGUAUCAGAUAAAUUUUGGAGUAAGGUCAGAGACCUAAGAUAAGAAAACCCCUAGGCAGAGGUGGGGAAAAAAUAGAAAAAAGAAAAUGAAAAGAGCAAAUACAUUCUUCCUUCCUAUCUUCAACUUGCCAGAGUAGCUUUACUAAGAUGCUGCCUGAUCGUUUCUCUCCAGACACUUUUGCCAAUGAUAUUAAUACUAUAAAGGAGCAUUUCUGGACUUGAUUCAUUAAUGAUUAGAAAGCUCGUAACAGAUUAGAUGACCAGGCUACAGUCUCACCUGCCAGGCAGUGCAGCUGCAGAUCUUGGCUGACCAUCAUGUCAGCAUUUUCAACAAAUUUUAAGCUACUAUGUGCCAGUCACUGGGUCAGGAGUUGGAAAUAUGAGGAAGACCGUAGCUCUCAUAAUGAGAAUACAAGGAAGGCCAUCUCUCAAGAAAGAAACAUCAUAAAACAUGUUUACUGUCAAGUCCUUGUCAUUAUCAAAAAUAUCUUCAGAUUGAUGUCAUUCUGAGAAAAGUGAUUUCAUAUUGAAAAAAAUUCUACAAAAAUAGUAAAACUUUUCUUCUCAAUUUUCAGAACUUGGAUGAGGUUGGGGGCAGGUGUUUUCAUCUAUUUUCAUCCUUGUCCUGGUAGAAAUUAUUUGCUUGAUUAAUAUUUUGGUGGGGAAGGUCAGUCUCUAAGGCUACAGAUGAGAAGAUCAGUUACUGGAUGGGUUCCUAACUUCAAUGUCAGAUCCAAGAGCCUGAAAAUAAAGGAUGGAAAGAAAGGGAAACAAAAAUUAUCAGACAAUGUUAAGACAUUUUAUGGAGAGGAAGAAAGAGUGAGUGAGCACAGGAAAAAUCACAAAGCAGUAUAUGAAGAAAAGAAAGAGAUAACAGUUAUUAGUAAGUAAAGAGAUAAUUAAGAGAUAAUUAAGAGAUAAUCUUUUCAGUGGCACGAACACCGUAGUUUGUCACAUCACUGGUCAUUAAUGAUUUGUGAGAAGCAGUGUCUCAACUAUAUGUUUCUGUUACAUUAAUUAUACCUGAAAUAAAAUCUUUGCACACC